rnacentral:rRNA from 1 species
UGGCGGACGGGUGAGUAACGCGUGGGUAACCUGCCUCAUACAGGGGGAUAACAGUUAGAAAUGACUGCUAAUACCGCACAAGACCACAGCACCGCAUGGUGCAGGGGCAAAAACUCCGGUGGUAUGAGAUGGACCCGCGUCUGAUUAGGUAGUUGGUGGGGUAACGGCCUACCAAGCCGACGAUCAGUAGCCGACCUGAGAGGGUGACCGGCCACAUUGGGACUGAGACACGGCCCAA